GACGAACGCUGGCGGCGUGCUUAACACAUGCAAGUCGAACGAUGAAGCUGGAGCUUGCUCCGGUGGAUUAGUGGCGAACGGGUGAGUAACACGUGAGCAAUCUGCCCUUGACUCUGGGAUAACUGCGGGAAACUGUAGCUGAUUCCGGAUACGAGAUUUGGAGGCAUCUCCGGAUCUGGAAAGAAUUUCGGUCAAGGAUGAGCUCGCGGCCUAUCAGCUUGUUGGUGAGGUAAUGGCUCACCAAGGCGACGACGGGUAGCCGGCCUGAGAGGGUGACCGGCCACACUGGGACUGAGACGCGGCCCAGACUCCUACGGGAGGCAGCAGUGGGGAAUAUUGCACAAUGGGCGAAAGCCUGAUGCAGCAACGCCGCGUGAGGGAUGAAGGCCUUCGGGUUGUAAACCUCUUUUAGUAGGGAAGAAGCGAAAGUGACGGUACCUACAGAAAAAGCACCGGCUAACUACGUGCCAGCCGCCGCAGUAA
rnacentral:rRNA from 1 species